GAUGAACGCUGGCGGCGUGCCUAAUACAUGCAAGUCGAGCGAACAGACGAGGAGCUUGCUCCUCUGACGUUAGCGGCGGACGGGUGAGUAACACGUGGAUAACCUACCUAUAAGACUGGGAUAACUUCGGGAAACCGGAGCUAUUACCGGAUAAUAUAUUGAACCGCAUGGUUCAAUAGUGAAAGACGGUUUUGCUGUCACUUAUAGAUGUAUCCGCGCCGCAUUAGCUAGUUGGUAAGGUAACGGCUUACCAAGGCAACGAUGCGUAGCCGACCUGAGAGGGUGAUCGGCCACACUGGAACUUAGACACGGUCCAGACUCCUACGGGAGGCAGCAGUAGGGAAUCUUCCGCAAUGGGCGAAAGCCUGACGGAGCAACGCCGCGUGAGUGAUGAAGGUCUUCGGAUCGUAAAACUCUGUUAUUAGGGAAGAACAAAUGUGUAAGUAACUAUGCACGUCUUGACGGUACCUAAUCAGAAAGCCACGGCUAACUACGUG
rnacentral:rRNA from 1 species